GACGAGGAGCGAAUGCAGAAGAAGAGAGGAAGAAGACUACGAUAGGCGGACGGGCGAGAGGCCGUGGAGCAAAGCAGCAGCAGGAGGAGGAGGGCGAGAGACCUUCAAGGUGCAGUGGAGAUGAGGCCACGGCCGGGUUUUCUACCCUGGGAGAGACCUGACCUCUGGCUUUGGCGCGAUCACGAUCGUCCGCUUUGCCCAUUACGAGUUCGCCAUUCACAGCGCCUUCGCGCACGCACUCCGGGUUUCCGCCAACGGCGCCCGUCGGCACGGAGAGAUGCUCCACGUUUGCACCGACGCUGGGCGCCUCGUGGUUGGGCGCGGUCGUCCCGAGCCGUUCGCAGGCGUCCUCCUGCCGUGGAGUUGUGGCGGUUGCGUCGGGUUGGCUGCUGGGCGGCGGGCGGUACUCCCAGAGCAAGAAGUCCUGCAGGAGUGUGUUGACCGCCUCGGGGCAUUCCAACAUGACCAUGUGACUCCCGUCCUCCACCGCCUUGAGAAAGGCGAUCAGCAGGAUCUGGAUAUGAGCACAGAGAGUUAUGAGCUCGGGACAUGAUUCUCCUCGUGCGUGGAACAGCAUUGCAUUGCUGUUAACAUUUAAAAACUAUUCCUCUCCAUUCAGUGUUUAAUUGGCAGCUGUUGGAUUUACCAAUUGAGCACUGUAAAUGUAAGCGCUUUUGAACUAUACCCUUUUCCACGGUAACAUACUUGAAUAUGAUGCCUACUUUAAAUAAUGCCUUUCUAAUCUCACGAACAUGUUUGCUAUCUGCCAUCUCCUUUAAAAUAUAUAUUUCAUCCCAUCGGGCUCUUGCCUGCUUAAAAGAUGUUUGUUUCAUUAUUUUGAAUAAAAACAAAUAAAGACUAUCGUGUGAGAAUCUGGAAAUAUAAGGUACACAGGCCACUUGAAAGACUGUUCUGGUAGCCCUGCCUAUGGCUCCAUGACUCUCAUUAUACUCACCCAUGGUUACUUUUCUGACCACCAAGAAAGCUCUUUCUCGCUAGUAGAAAGACAUGGUUGGCAUGGACCCAGGUGCAAGUAAUUAAAUCUUUGCCUUCUUCGCAGCCAGACAUCUCAGCCUUUUCUACGCCACCGCUUCCUGUCCAUCUGUGUCCUCACUUUUCACCUACCCAUAAUGCUUUUAUGCCACCCGUGAUUCUCUUCUUCCCACCGGUGUGCUAACUUUAUGGUCACUCAUAGGUCCCCGUCCGUGCACCGGUGACUCGAUUUCCGACCGAGUGGUCCACAAGCUCCGUGCGUGUGCCCUGCUUGGGUCCACACACCCCACUUACCUCGGCCAUGCGCUGGUCCUCUUCGAUUGGUACGAAGCGGUCAUGCAAGCCGUGCACAAUGAGCGUGGGCACGGUGAGUGCCGCAUGGUACAGCUCGUCGCCCUCGGGCCAGUACUGCCCGCUCAUGGUGGCGCGCAGCACCAAGGGCGGCACGCUGAACGCGUUUCCAUCCCGCAGCAGUUGCUUCUCCUUGGUGCCCUGACGUGCAAACCCGGCCCUGCGCAAACGUUUAAAAAAACUAAAAUAAUGCGUCGAACAGCGGUGCAUCGAUUAAAAUGAACUGCAUUCCAUUCACAUGCUUGUGAUACGUGCACUGGAAUGUAUGUGUGUAAACAAUCGAUUAUGUUCCAAUGUAUGUAAUGGGUUAGCAUGACCUCUGAUGCCACUUGAGGCCACUACAAUCGCAGAAAUGUCUGAAAAAAAAUCUAUUCUUGAAUGGAAUCAUGACCCCAAAUUGUAAGAAUUGAGACAGGGAUGAAGCAACCGGAGGCCUAGAACUAUGACCUCGUGGGACUCCACAAUAACAAGGCGAAGCGGUACCCAAAGCCAAGGACGGCGCUCACUUGAGGAAGGCCCACGCCAGGCAGGGCGAGAUGCAGUGAAGCAACCGGAGGCCUAGAACUAUGACCUCGUGGGACUCCACAAUAACAAGGCGAAGCGGUACCCAAAGCCAAGGACGUCGCUCACUUGAGGAAGGCCCACGCCAGGCAGGGCGAGAUGCAGUGCAGCACGCAGGAGGGCAGGCUGAACACGGAGCACACGCUGGGCUCCAAGGGCGUCGGGCCACCGCCGUUUAUCAGCACCACUUUGCACACCUGCUCUGGGUACUCGUGAGCCAGGAAGGUGCAGAACGACACGCUGGCAAUGGAACGACAACAACAACAGCAAUGGCGACAGGAAUUAAUUGCUUGGCCUUAGCGUGACAUUCAGGUGCCGUCUCUCCACCAUGGCCUCAUGGCCUCGUCCAGCUUUUGGUUUUAAAUUAAACAAACAAAUAAAUGAAACAGAUUUUAAUACUGUACGUAACUAGUAGAGAGUGGUUGUGGUAAAUACGGCAUAAAAAACAACGUUAUUACACUGUACUUCUACACUCCUAUGUGUACGCUUCCUGUGUUCACAAACCCGUAACGACCAGCGUGGUGAAGUAUGGUCAAAUAACCCCCAUGACCCGUAUAGCGUGUGGAGGCCUUUAUAUGGAAGUGGAUUGACAAAAACAAUAUGAAGGUAUUUUUUUGGUUUUAGGACCCAGAUUAUUGGAAGAAAAACCUUUAUUCUUUUGUUUUUGAACUUAUCAUAUUAAAAUUCGUUUCAGGCGAUUGUUAUGGGAGCUGAAUCUUCGGAGUACACAGUUUUUUUAGAACUCAAUAUUCCACAUGUUUUUAAUGCCAGUUUUAUGCUAAAUCCAAAAGAAGGUAGGAAAUUCCUGUUACCAGUUACUGCUAGACUGCAACAGCCCUUUCUGAUGUGGUCAUGUAUCCAUAUUAUCUGUGAAAUUGCAUCUUUGGCUGCAGUGACAAAAUCAGAGCUCUCCAUUAAGAUCUAAUCCACAUGGUUUUUUUCUCUCUCUCAACAUUAAGCAAAGCAAAUAAAAGGCUUGCAUUUUACAUGACCUGGAUACAGAAGCCUGCAUGCGCAUGUCACGGAACAUCGGGUGUCAAUAAAGCGGUUAACUGUAUUGGACAAGCCCGAUCCACUCGGCUUGUCUAAUAUUGUGGAGUGGGGAACCCCCCCCCCCCCCCCCUAAACAACCUUGUCGUAUAAAGCAGACACAAAGGCUGCCUUCCCGCUCCCAUGCACUUUAAUUUUGUCUAUCUAUCUAAAAGGACGGAACUGUGUGAGGACUAACUAUAAUCUUAAUUUAUUUGGUCAGGUAUGUUCUAAUAAGGUUAUUUUAUCGCGAACAAAAGCCUGAACACCAAUACAAUUUCGAACUGAAUUAAAACCUACCCAAGCAACAACAACAACAUACCUUCAGUGUCCGGACAAGUGAAGGUCUUCCGAAUCGAUUAAAUGAACAGGACAGUAGAAGCGUGGUGCUAGCUUGGCUAAUUAGGCAGAAAAUCUAAAGAGGGGAUUUGGAAAGUGGUGUUGACCUUCACUGGAGAGGUCAUUGUGUGAGCCAAGAUACUCAGGGACAGAAACAUUGGCAGCACAAGACAAUAACCAUCACCUCCAUCGUUCUAGAUUAUAGGCAUGCAACAUCACCGUCAGGGUUGGCUAGCUAGAUUAGGGUUAGGGCCAAUACCACUAGACUAUGCACUUUUAAAUCUAGAUUUUAAACUAAUUUCAUUUGAACUGCUUUUUGUGUUUAGUCUGUUGUUCUUCCCCCGCACCUAUGAUUAGCACGGUUGGCUAUGUACGGUGUGAAAGAAGUUAAACUUACAGUAAAUCCUCUACUUAUGAACGAGUUAGGUUCCAGAGGUCUGUUUGCGAGUCGAUUUGUUCGUAAGUCCAACUUUACUACUCUCGAUUCAAAACAUGGUGAACCACAUGUACAUUAAACACGGGGAAUUGCUUUAAAAGUUGUAUAAUCUCCUGUCAAUAUAGAUGCCACUGGUUCUUUAUGUUCUGCAGAUGUAGAUGCCACCACCGCAAUCUAUUGCGCGGUGGUUGAACUUACGACUCUUUGUCCGAACAGGCAACUGGACAUACGGACAGGAUUGUUCGUAUCUCUGAACGUUCGUAAGUAGUAUGUUCGUAAAUAGAGAAGUCCCUGUACAUACAUAUAUACAAUACUCGUUCCUAUCUGGUUGGCUAAUGACCCAGGUGAUGGUUAUGGCUAGGUCUAUAUCUAUGGCCUGCUUAGCUGGCCGACAUGCCAGGUUCAGGGUCUCUCACCCAUACGAGUGGCCCACGAGGACGUUGCGGCGCUUGGCGUAGCGGCGGAAGAUGAAGCGCAUGUCUUCGGCGAGCGCGGCGAACGUAUACGCGGCGGCGGCAUCGGGUGCCGAGCUGCCGCCGUGGCCCAGGAGGUCGGGGGCCACACACUCGUAGCCCAGUGCCGACAGCGCCCGCAGCUGCUCACGCCACACCUCCAGCGAGCCGCCCACACCGUGGAAGAAGAAGAGCACCACGUCCGAGUCGGUGCCGCGGCAGCUCGUGAUGACGCGCUCGCACUCCACCAGCACCGUCUUCUUGGGCUUCCUCCUCCUGGGCCAGAACCGGGGGAAGAAAUUCCACGGAGAAAAAGAUGCAGGUUGCGAUGUGACAUUUGUAUUUCGUUCAAGGCUUCACUAUAAUGGUGUAAAGACAGUUAAUCAAUUCACAUGGAUUUAGUAAUGCUAUCGAAUGUGCGCUUGUCUUUGGCAGUAAUUUAAUUUGCAGUAUGGAAGUCGUUGGGUAACUGCUGUCAGGGCAAAAUGCGUUUGUAUGUUUGCAAAUAGUCAUUUUGCUUUGCUUUGUGUCUCCAAGUUUUAGAUAACCCAUUAAACAACUUGGCCAAUUUUCAAUAGAAUAAGGCUCUAAUAUAGCGACACAUUUCUAUGCCACAGGUUGAUUCACAGUAAAUCAUCUUCCAGAGUCCCCCGCUGUCACGAACGGAUGGCGGUCAUGCAUAAUGCUUUCAACCUUAGGAGAAAAGCAUACAAAAUUGGAAAUAUUGGUGGUUUAACCGUCACUAACAACUUUGGCACCUGGAUGAAAAUGGUUGCAGACUGUGUCAUGGUGCCCAUAUGACCAGCCAGGUAUGGACUGACCAACUCACCUGCGCCGGGGCCGUCGUGGCUGGGUGUUGCUAACCGGGAUGCCGGGUGUUGGAGGCUGGGUGCUACUGGGGUCCCCGCCUAAGCUGGCCGCCGAUGAUUGCAUGCUGCAGGCCCCUUUGCCGUGGCCAAAUUCCGAGGGCCUCGUGUUGCUGUUGUUUCUGCUGUGGCUUGGCACUGGAGACCGGUUCUCGUUGCCGGCGCCGCCGGAAUUACCAGUUGCCACCGGAGGCCCCGGUUCGCCCACCUUGGCGCUCAAGGGCUCGCCGCUUCCAGAGCCGCCGCCGCUGCUCACCACCUCCUCGCCUUCACCGUCGUCGGAGUUCUCGAUGUACAUCUGCCCAUUCUUGUAGACGCAGAUGCGGCGGCGACAGCGCAGCGUACAGUGCGCGCGGUCGGCUGGGUCCUCGCACGUCUCGGAUCCCGGCGGGCGCUCGGGCACGGCGUGGCGGACUCGCAGCACCCGGCCGGGCCGCACCUCCACCAGCUCGAAUUCGCCGCAGCCCGGCGCAAUGCUCGCCGGCCCCACCGUGUUGGCGGUGGCGGAGCACGGGUUGCAGCAGAACAUGGUACUGCAGUGGCCUGCAGCCUUCCAAGAAAUUCUCGUCCCUCGUCCGUGUGUUUUAUUCUCGCGCACUUCGGGCCCGAAGUUUCAAUGGCAGGCAACAGCCCGAGCGUUAUGAGGUUAUAAAACGCAAUGCAGUAAUUACAUUGCGGCCAAUGCAAUAAUGGUGCACUUUCUUGGCAUAUUGAUUAGACCAGCAGAUUAAGAAUUUGAUAAGUUUUGCCUAAAUCCACCUACCUCUGGAAUGCCUACUGGCAUAAAGUCUACAUUUUGAUUGCCUACCUUUGCAAACAACUUUUCGGGUGCUUAAAUAUUUAACAUUGGCCUUUUCGUGGCUCUGCGAUUGCCGACCGUUCGCAGAGUGCAAUGCUUCAAGGGCUGCGCGCAACGCUGUCUGAAUAAUUUAAAUCGUCUCUCCAUGGGCAGCGCGUGGCACAGGCGAGGACGCACAGGUGAGUGGCACUCGAGUGAGUGGCGCUCAGGUGUGUCUCCUGGCUACGGCCCUCCCAUUCACGCUGUCAGCUGAUGUGGUUUCAGGUGUGGUGGAACCCUUAAUGACACGAUCCUUAUCACGUUGUGACCUGGAGACAUAGGGAUGCACAAACAGCACCGUUAAUACAAUACAUAUAUGUAUUAUACACAGGCCGAAUUACUGCUAUCAAUGAUAAUAAUAUUAUUUAUCCAGCAAAGGCUGGUGGGUCCCUGUAUUGGGAUGGUUGACCAAGUCCAUACAAAGUAUUUUUACACGCGAGAAGAACCCUGAGUACCCACAGAAAAGCAACUAUGCAGAUAUGAGGUUAAAGCUGAAUAUAUAUUCAGAUAUACGGUUGAAAAUUCAACCUACUUGUUGUACUGCGAUCUAACUGGCCACAUCAUGGCCCAACGUAUUGGGUGUCUCAUGCCUGAUGAUCAAUUACAAACCAACACAAAAACAAUUCAUACAUUGUAGCAAUUAUCUUAUGUUGGAGGUGUGCAAUGGAUGAAAGUGGCAUGAGAUUAACUAGUGGUGGCAGGAGACCGCAGCGAUUGGAUAGGGGUACGAGCCAUUGUUGCGGUUUAUAACCGAUGGAGGUGCGAGAUUGUUGGGAAGGCUGAUUUGUUUACGAUGUAGAAUAUAUAAACACACACACUCGCGAUUGCCACGCAUGUGACACGUAAGAGAUCAGCGUAUUCCCAAUUAAAUUGGGGGAGUUCCCUGUUCAGGUCCUUGGCCAAACACGAUCCAACCAACAAUAAGUCAGUGCCUGAACGAACGACUGCCAUCAAUCAUCCCACACUGCGGUCGGUUCCUGUGUGCCAAUUAAUAUGGGCAGAUAAACCAAAGUGAACCAAAUGAUUACAAACCGAUCCACGUUGACCAAUUGAUAGGGGAUCAUGCGACACAUUAUCAACGCUUAUUCACAAAUUUUGCUCUUAAUAUAAUGAACAAUUUUGCUGGUGACGAUCCAGAAAGCUGUUGCAUAACACGAAUACAGUCUCGAGACGUAAUCACUCCGUUAUUAUCAUGAUGCUAUUAACUGCAUUGUUAUGGCAUUUAGUAAUUAGCGAUGGACAUUGUCAUGGCAUACGGCUAAGCCUGCGACAUACAUUAAAAUAACAUAAUCAAUGAUACAAUUAUCAGAAAUUGUAAAGGUCUCAUUGCAAUGCAUACGCGAACACUCUCAAUGCAAAAUACGCAGAUGACAAAACGUUGUGUAUAAUAUACAGUGCAGUAUAUUGUACUGUACACACAAACGCGACUUACUGAUUAUACCAGAUAUGUAACGCUGUUGCAAAGCAUUGUUCAUUCAUAACAUGGGUGAAGACUGUAUGGAUGGAUGAAUAAAGGAAAAAAA